GACAGAGGGUGCAAACGUUGUUCGGAAUUACUGGGCGUAAAGCGCGUGUAGGCGGCUAUGCAAGUCGGAUGUGAAAGCCCUCGGCUCAACCGGGGAAGUGCACCCGAAACUGCAAAGCUAGAGUCUCGGAGAGGAUCGUGGAAUUCUCGGUGUAGAGGUGAAAUUCGUAGAGAUGUGGAGGAACACCGAUGGCGAAGGCAGCCUUCUGGGCCAACACUGACGCUCAUGCACGAAAGCGUGGGGAGCAAACAGG
rnacentral:rRNA from 1 species